CGGAGAGAGACGGGGUGGAAGGCUAUAUGCGGCCAGCUGAAGGGAGCUGAGUGACUGGCGGAGGAGGAGGCCAGAGAGGCGAGCUGGGGGAGCAGCGGAUACCGCUAACCUGAUCCAUCUCCCGGAGACUGAUUAACGGAGGCAGGCGGGCGAUGAGCUGUUGUGACAGAAAUAACCACAGCUGUAACCAGAGCCGCUAAUGAUGCUGCAGACCCAUCACUUCCAGCCACACUGUCUUGAGAAAGAGUAUGCGAACCGCAUUGGAUGCUGUUGGGGGAGUGAUUGGCUGAUGAGCACUGGAGAGGACGUAUCCCAGGUCUUUGCCGUAUGGAAGGUCAUGUAACAGGUUCCGGAGCCUCGAUUAAUUGAUGUUACACGCCUUGGCGAAGCAUAGCUCUGAAUGUUCUCAUAAAGCCUAGAGGUUUGGAGCCCGAUUCUGGAAAUGUGGACGGAUCUCAGAAGAACGUAUCUCGCUGAUCUCAGCAUAUUGCACACGUGCAAAGUAAAGAAAUUGGUUUCUGUACAUUAAUCGGAUCAGGCAUACACAUGCGAGCUGAGAUCACUAGUGUGCACGGAUUGAUCCAUCUGUUGGAUGGAGCACUCUUUCUGUGACAUUUCUGGGUGUUAAGUGGGUGGCAAGCAUUUAGAUGCGCGGAACCGUUCCGUAUCAUGGGCAUGAUGAUGCCAGCUGCAGAUUUACAUAUUAUAUAUUUAUAGAGCGGAUGACAUAGGCUUCCUUCUGCAUGCAGAUGCACAAAUUCUCAGUAUACAUGGGUGGAUUCUCGCUUUAGCUUAAGGAAGUAAAGACAUCGGCAGCUUAUACAGCAUAGCAGCCCCCAUAGACACCUAUGCGAGGCUACAUUUGCAGCUGGAAAUGGAGGGACCGCAGUAGAUAGUGGAGAUUUCUGCCUCCAUGGUACAUCUGGGGAAUCCUUAAUAUUUGCGGGUAACACUAACCCCCCCUUCCCCCUCCCACACAAAUAUUGACAUGUAUAUUAGCAUAUGUCAGUCAAAGUGUUUAUAGUUGUUGGUAGAUAUUAUAAUGAAGCCCAUGUCAAGAAUCCGCAUAUCUACCAACUGUCUUGUUUAACCAUAGCAACCAAUUAUGUUCUAUCGUUUUAUAGCAUGUACAAGAAUAUGGGCUAUGGGCAACUUCUCCACUUGUCCUUGAGAUUGUAACCUAUUAAUUUUCUAAGAACUUUAUCAAAUUCUGCAUCAGUGAUGUCCCCUGUUUAUACUGAAUGGACAGGCUGACUAUUGCUGCAUGUCACAGGGUAUCCGGACUACAGAUAUAGCAUACCUCCCAACAUGA